rnacentral:rRNA from 1 species
GGUGAACGCUGGCGGCGUGCCUAAUACAUGCAAGUCGAGCGAACGGACGAGAAGCUUGCUUCUCUGAUGUUAGCGGCGGACGGGUGAGUAACACGUGGAUAACCUACCUAUAAGACUGGGAUAACUUCGGGAAACCGGAGCUAAUACCGGCUAAUAUUUUGAACCGCAUGGUUCAAAAGUGAAAGACGGUCUUGCUGUCACUUAUAGAUGGAUCCGCGCUGCAUUAGCUAGUUGGUAAGGUAACGGCUUACCAAGGCAACGAUGCAUAGCCGACCUGAGAGGGUGAUCGGCCACACUGGAACUGAGACACGGUCCAGACUCCUACGGGAGGCAGCAGUAGGGAAUCUUCCGCAAUGGGCGAAAGCCUGACGGAGCAACGCCGCGUGAGUGAUGAAGGUCUUCGGGUCGUAAAACUCUGUUAUUAGGGAAGAACAUAUGUGUAAGUAACUGUGCCCAUCUUGACGGUACCUAAUCAGAAAGCCACGGCUAACUACGUG